AUAAAUUCACCUGGAGAUCUUGUAAGUGCAGGUUCUGAUAUACCAGACUGAGGUAUGUCCUGAGAUUCUGCAUUUCUAUAAGCUCCAGGUGGUACCAAU
rnacentral:miRNA from 1 species